UCAGCUACCCUCAACCCUCCCUCUAUCCAAACCAUCCAGUCCCAUCCUGUAGCUACCAUCAACCACUCCCAUCUAUCUCUGAACACCAUCCCGUCCUUCAGCUACCCUCAACCCUUUCCUAUCUCUGAACACCAUCCAGUCCCCCCAUCCAGUCCCACCAUUGUAACAGGCUACAGUAUUUACUCUAACAGGCUACAGUAUUUACUUUGUAGCAGGCUACAGUAUUUACUCUUAACCGGCUACAGUAUUUCAUCUGUAGCAGGCUACAGUAUUUACUCUAACAGGCUACAGUAUUUACUCUAACAGGCUAC
rnacentral:lncRNA from 1 species